rnacentral:rRNA from 1 species
AGGGUUCGAUUAUGGCUCAGGAUGAACGCUAGCUACAGGCUUAACACAUGCAAGUCGAGGGGCAGCAUGUCGGUUGCUUGCAACCGACGAUGGCGACCGGCGCACGGGUGAGUAACACGUAUCCAACCUUCCGUUUACUCAGGGAUAGCCUUUCGAAAGAAAGAUUAAUACCUGAUAGUAUGGUGAGAUUGCAUGAUAGCACCAUUAAAGAUUUAUUGGUAAACGAUGGGGAUGCGUUCCAUUAGGUAGUAGGCGGGGUAACGGCCCACCUAGCCGACGAUGGAUAGGGGUUCUGAGAGGAAGGUCCCCCACAUUGGAACUGAGACACGGUCCAA